rnacentral:snoRNA from 1 species
AAGAUCAUUACUUUCACAGGAUCAUUCUGUAGUUAUCUCAGGUUGCACAAGACUUUAUAGUUCCAGCCCCUCGGUCACGAUGAUGAGCGACUCUCUCAUUCACCUGAAGCGUGAGGUCAAUGUGUAGAAUCUGAUCUUCUCCAAGAUUAGAAUCACACCAUUAGAUCAACCUCGAUGAUCGCGGCCCUAACUCUCGAGUUAGGCGGGUGAAAUGAGUUGUCUGAGUGGC